rnacentral:rRNA from 1 species
CCUACGGGGAGCAGCAGUGAGGAAUCUUGGUCAAUGGGCGCGAGCCUGAACCAGCCAAGUAGCGUGAAGGAUGACUGCCCUACGGGUUGUACACUUCUUUUAUAAAGGCAUAAAGUGAGGCACGUGUGCCUUUUUGUAUGUACUUUAUGAAUAAGGAUCGGCUAACUCCGUGCCAGCAGCCGCGGUAAUACGGAGGGUCCGAGCGUUAUCCGGAUUGUUUGGGUUUAAAGGGAGCGUAGAUGGGUUUUUAAGUCAGUUGUGAAAGUUUGCGGCGCAACCGUAAAAUUGCAAUUGAUACUGGCAGUCUUGAGUACAGUUGAGGGAGGCGGAAUUCGUGGUGUAGCGGUGAAAUGCUUAGAUAUCACGAAGAACUCCGAUUGCGAAGGCAGCUUACUAAACUGCCACUGACAUUGAUGCUCGAAAGUGUGGGUAUCAAACAGGAGUAGAUACCCGUGUAGUC